rnacentral:rRNA from 1 species
GACGAACGCUGGCGGCGUGCUUAACACAUGCAAGUCGAACGGAAAGGCCCUGCUUUUGUGGGGUGCUCGAGUGGCGAACGGGUGAGUAACACGUGAGUAACCUGCCCUUGACUUUGGGAUAACUUCAGGAAACUGGGGCUAAUACAGGAUAGGAGCUCCUGCUGCAUGGUGGGGGUUGGAAAGUUUCGGCGGUUGGGGAUGGACUCGCGGCUUAUCAGCUUGUUGGUGGGGUAGUGGCUUACGAAGGCUUUGACGGGUAGCCGGCCUGAGAGGGUGACCGCGGUCAUUGGGACUAAGAGACGGCGCAGACGCGUAUGGGAGGCAGCAGUGGAGAGCAUGGCACAAUGGGCGGAAGCGUGAUGCAGCAACGCCGCGUGCGGGAUGACGGCUUUGUGGUGGUAAACCGCAUUAGCCUGUGACGAAGCGGGAUUGACGGUAAUGGGUAAAGAAGCACCGGCUAACUACGUG